AGUAAACAAACCACGAUGGCAGAGUGUAGUGUUGAAAAAGAGAUGGCAGAAGGGGAUUUUGAUGACCUGUUGCUCGAAUCUGAUGUUCGCGGUUACCUGUACGAGCCGCAAUACAACGAGGAACAGUUACGGAUGAUCGAGGAACAAGAGGCUGCCACAGCAGCUGCUGUAGCCGAGGUGGUGCGAGACGAAGAGCCCAGCCAGACUCGAGUUGGCGCGGUCUGGUGGUGUAGGUGCGCUCGCUGUGCGCCUAUGGACACCGAAAAAGAGUCAUAUUGCUGUCUCGAAUUUCAGCGAUGCCAUUUUCUUCUUGAAGAAAUGGCUGAAUCUGCUGUGGAAACGGGACCGCCAGUAUAUGUAACACAGCACCGAAGCUUUGAUCCACACAUGGACAGGGGAGUCCUGGAAACUUAUUUCAGGAUUCCGAAGGUGAAUUGGAAACGCCAGCCAAAGCCCGCAGGGAGAAACGGAAGCAUGAGUAUAAAACAAUAUCGACUUGCAUCCUACCGUCAUUUCGUGGAAUGGUUUUGCAAGGCGAAAGACUGGGGUUAGGCUAUCGACUUGUUUUACCUGCCUGUGUUGUUCAGGACAUCAGACGGAGAUAUCCAGCUCCUCACGGACAUUAUAGCGGCUAUAAAGAAACGGAUGAAGCUCUGGAUGAGCUAUAAGUGUGAAUUGUUUAUGUUUUUUUAAUAAAAAGUUAAAACUCA